UAAAUUAUAAUUCAAUUGGUAGAGUAAUCAAAUUUUAAUUGAUAAAUCAUGGUUCAAAUCCAUGUAAUUUCU
rnacentral:tRNA from 1 species